rnacentral:tRNA from 1 species
GUGGCUGUGGCUCAGUGGUAGAACGCUCGCCUAGUGCAUGUGAGGUGCUGGGUUUGAUCAUCAGCACCACA